AGUGAACGCUGGCGGUAGGCCUAACACAUGCAAGUCGAACGGCAGCACAGUAAGAGCUUGCUCUUACGGGUGGCGAGUGGCGGACGGGUGAGGAAUACAUCGGAAUCUACUUUUUCGUGGGGGAUAACGUAGGGAAACUUACGCUAAUACCGCAUACGACCUACGGGUGAAAGCAGGGGAUCUUCGGACCUUGCGCGAUUGAAUGAGCCGAUGUCGGAUUAGCUAGUUGGCGGGGUAAAGGCCCACCAAGGCGACGAUCCGUAGCUGGUCUGAGAGGAUGAUCAGCCACACUGGAACUGAGACACGGUCCAGACUCCUACGGGAGGCAGCAGUGGGGAAUAUUGGACAAUGGGCGCAAGCCUGGUCCAGCCAUACCGCGUGGGUGAAGAAGGCCUUCGGGUUGUAAAGCACUUUUGUUGGGAAAGAAAAGCAGCAGGUUAAUACCCCGCUGUUCUGACGGUACCAAAAGAAUAAGCACCGGCUAACUUCGUG
rnacentral:rRNA from 1 species